rnacentral:lncRNA from 1 species
GCAGAACCCUACUUAUCCUGCAGAGGAUGCCCCAGGUAACUUCUUCAUCCUAGGUUACAGAAUGUAAGUUACACAGAGCAGAACCAAACUUGCCCUGUAGCGUGGAGCCAACCUCUGCUGAAUCCAACAGAGCUACGGCUGACCUGCAGAUCCACGAGUAGUAUCACAGUAAAAUAAUGGAACAUGACAAACUUUUGCACAUAAACCUAUGAGUGUGCUCAGUGUUGAGUCCAGCAUCAAGGACCUUUGCUCUCUCCAAUCCUAAGUUGUAUGAAGAGUUCUUCACACAGACACUUACAUGCACACACAUUCUCUGAGCAGGUCUGCUCAGAAUUGCCUGGCUGUGACUUUGUUCUCAAAAUAUGUUGGUGUUUGGCAGCUAUGUCAGACUAUCAGCCAGUCCCUAAAUACACCUUAUUAUUUCUCGUCAUUUAUGUCUCUGGGAUGAAAAAUAUAUCAGCCUGGUUGGUAAGAACAGAGUCGCUAAAUGUGUUAAAGAAAUAAAGGGUUUCAUACAGGAUUGGGGCUUACCCAAACAUGGGAGGGGCUGGGAGAGUCAUGGUCUGAAGGCUGCAGUUAAAGGGUAGGAGAAACAGUCACCUACAACUCAGAACUGGAAAGACUGGAACUCUUGGGCGUGCCUGAGAAGCUGCUGUGACUGCCUGCCAGAGUGGGAGUGCCCAGUGAGGUUUGCUAAACCACAUGCUCCCUAAAACUGCGGUGUGAGCCAACAUGACCUCCCAAGAGCUUUCCUCCUGCCUUCCCACCACAGGCUUCUCAUUGGUUAUAUGUAUUUUGAAACAGGAAAUCUCGCCAUCCUCACCAAAGCCAUUUCCUUGAGAGGAUUUUAUCUGGUUUGUCUCCUUGACUCCAGGCAGGGCUCCAUUCCAACCAGAUGGAAGAAUGCAGACAUCUCACAUCAUUUACACCCAGAAGGCUGUCAGCAGCAGCGCUCAGGGAGUGAGAGUGUUUAAUCUCGAGGAGGAAAUAGAAUGUAUACACACCCUGCAAACUGAGAUGUUUUACGUUGGCUCUGGCUCCUACCGCCCCCCAUGUGUGGCAGCAGCUACCAAGACUCUACUGUGAAUCCCCAUGACUGGUAAGUCCUGUUGAUCAGAACGAUCGCGAAUGUUUUCCUGCUCCGUAGACACGGGGCCCAGCCAGGCCACCCAGUCAUCAUUAACUGGGCUGCUGGUCCAGCCCUGUUUGCUGACUCUACCAGGGGUAACUAUUUCAUGACAAGUUUAUAGGAGGGAGAAAUCAAAAGUACAACCUUACUUUUUGCUGGUCUCUUCCAUCCUCUGCUGGCCUCAUGUGACCUCCCGAACAUGGCACAGUCAUCACCAGCUCCCGUUGGUCCCUGGGGUGGUUUGGCCGCAGUUACAUUGGCACAGUCAUUGGAAAAAUCAUUUCUGUACAUCGCAUCACUGGUGCAUCUGGGCUUCUGCCUGAAGCACAUGUCAGGAGGAAUUGUUGGCAACCCUGAGGGCAAGCAAUGAGAAUGAACAAAAUGAACAACCUGCAGCAACAUGAAUGGACCUCACAAGGAUAAUGUUGAACAUAAGAAGCCAGGCACAAAAGAGUGCAUAUUUUUGUGUCUGACUCCAUUACAUGAAGUUCAAGAAGAAGAAACAUUAAUGUAUGGUUUUGGAAGGCAGGAUGUGGGGAGGUAGUUGGGGCAUGAGGAGGUUUUGGGGGUACAGGGUGGUGGCAGUGUUUUGCUUCUGGUUCUGGGGGAUGGCUAAGUGUGUGUUCAUUUCAUGUAAGUUCAUAUGCAUUUGUGCAAUUGCCUGUAAAGUUGUCAUACUUCGAUAAUAUUAAAAAUAUGAAAAAUAAAAAUAUAAAGCCCAUAUGGGAGAGCACACUUCUCUGCAUUUUUUUUGCACUUUGGCGAUGAGCUGACAGAGGGGUUGUUAACAAGCACCCUACUUGCUCACUGUGCUUGGUAGGAUCCUCAACCUAGCGAGUCCCACCCCAUUCC